rnacentral:rRNA from 1 species
UUUUGGACAAUGGGCGCGAGCCUGAUCCAGCAAUGCCGCGUGCAGGAAGAAGGCCUUCGGGUUGUAAACUGCUUUUGUCCCCCCCGAAACGGUCCUGGUUAAUACCUGGGGCUAAUGACGGUACCGUAAGAAUAAGCACCGGCUAACUACGUGCCAGCAGCCGCGGUAAUACGUAGGGUGCAAGCGUUAAUCGGAAUUACUGGGCAUAAAGCGUGCGCAGGCGGUUUUGUAAGACAGGCGUGAAAUCCCCGGGCUUAACCUGGGAAUGGCGUUUGUGACUGCAAAGCUGGAGUGCGGCAGAGGGGGAUGGAAUUCCGCGUGUAGCAGUGAAAUGCGUAGAUAUGCGGAGGAACACCGAUGGCGAAGGCAAUCCCCUGGGCCUGCACUGACGUUCAUGCACGAAA